rnacentral:pre_miRNA from 8 species
AGCGGGCAGCAACAGAACUGGUCGGUGAUUUAGGUAGUUUCCUGUUGUUGGGAUCCACCUUUCUCUCGACAGCACGACACUGCCUUCAUUACUUCAGUUGAAAUCGUCUCCAGGUACC